GACGAACGCUGGCGGCGUGCUUAACACAUGCAAGUCGAACGGAAAGGCCCUGCUUUUGUGGGGUGCUCGAGUGGCGAACGGGUGAGUAACACGUGAGUAACCUGCCCUUGACUUUGGGAUAACUUCAGGAAACUGGGGCUAAUACCGGAUAGGAGCUCCUGCUGCAUGGUGUGGGUUGGAAAGUUUCGGCGGUUGGGGAUGGACUCGCGGCUUAUCCGCUUGUUGGUGGGGUAGUGGCUUACCAAGGCUUUGACGGAUAGCCGGCCUGAGAGGGUGACCGGCGACAUGGGGACUGAGAUACGGCGCAGACUCCUACGGGAGGCAGCAGUGGGGAAUAUUGCACAAUGGGCGGAAGCCUGAUGCAGCAACGCCGCGUGCGGGAUGACGGCCUUCGGGUUGUAAACCGCUGUCGCCUGUGACGAAGCGUGAGUGACGGUAAUGGGUAAAGAAGCACCGGCUAACUACGUG
rnacentral:rRNA from 1 species